rnacentral:rRNA from 1 species
UACAGAGGUCCCGAGCGUUGUUCGGAUUCAUUGGGCGUAAAGGGUGCGUAGGCGGCGGGGCCAGUCUGAUGUGAAAUCCCGGGGCUCAACCCCGGAACUGCAUUGGAUACUGCCUUGCUAGAGUACUGGAGAGGGAACUGGAACUUCCGGUGGAGCGGUGAAAUGCGUUGAUAUCGGAAGGAACGCCGGUGGCGAAAGCGACGUGCUGGAUCUCUUCUGACGCUGAGGCGCGAAAGCCAGGGGAGCAAACGGG